rnacentral:rRNA from 1 species
CACCGGCGCCACGAGUAGUGAUCGCGGUUAUUGGGCCUAAAGCAUUCGUAGCCGGUUUGGUAAAUCUCCUGUGAAAUCGUCUGGCUCAACCUGACGGCGCGCAGGAAAGACUGCCAAGCUAGGGACUGGGAGGAGUGGAAGGUAUUCUGUAGGGAGCGGUAAAAUGCUAUAAUCUACAGAAGACCACCUGUGGCGAAGGCGUUCCACUAGAACAGGUCCGACGGUGAGGAAUGAAAGCUAGGGGAGCAAUCCGG